GGAGUUCUCUUUUGUGAAUGAUUUUCUUUGAUUAAAAUGGAAAUGACGUGAUAGCUCCUUUCCAAUAUCACUCGUCUCUUUUGAUACAAUGUCUCACCAGUAUUGUUCUCUCUUUCUUUGCUAACUUGUUACACAGUAGGUGUUAGAGAGCUACAAUAUUUGUUUAUAGUAUAACAAAGAGCAGGUGUUUGGUUCGAUCAAAGUAUUUCUAGCUAAGGUGUGAUUACAGGUUUAAAUACUUUGAGAGAGAGGCUUGAAUUCUAGAAAGAUUUGCCAACCCAAGAUAUUUGAUCUUCGAAAGAGAUUAACUCUUUCCAAGAAUAAAGCUGUUCUACAAUGGCUCUGUUGAACAUGAAAUCUUGAUUUUUUAUAUUAGACACUUGAUUGAAUAUUCAGUGAGAUCUUGAUUUAUUUGAUUCCUUGAGUUUAGCUAUAAUUGAUCCCAUUUGUAUCUUCUGUGAUUUCGUCUUCCUUUAAUCGUGUCCCUUGAUUGCAUCGGUAUCUUCAUGAUUGAUUUCCUCUUCCUUUAACUGCGCCUAUAUUCUGUCAAUCUUGUAACUCAAUCCAUAUAUUUCCAUACGUUCCUUUAUCAUUGAUUUCGCCAAUCCAAGAGUUCCUACUCAAGAAACAAAUAUAUUAUUUUCAUCACUAAAAUUAGAUUUAACAAUCUUCCCCUUUUUGAUGAUGACAAAAUAAUAUAUGUAUAAACACUAGUUGACUACCCUGUAGUUUUCUCCACCUCAAUAGGUGUAGUAAGUAAUUUGAGGUGCAUGUAGUCGACUGCAUCAAUUAGCUUCUCU
rnacentral:lncRNA from 1 species